rnacentral:rRNA from 1 species
UGGGGAAUUUUGGACAAUGGGGGCAACCCUGAUCCAGCCAUGCCGCGUGCGGGAAGAAGGCCUUCGGGUUGUAAACCGCUUUUAGCCGGGAAGAAAAGGCUGCUCUUAACAGGGGUGGUUCUUGACGGUACCGGCGGAAUAAGCACCGGCUAACUACGUGCCAGCAGCCGCGGUAAUACGUAGGGUGCGAGCGUUAAUCGGAAUUACUGGGCGUAAAGCGUGCGCAGGCGGUUCGUUGUGUCUGUCGUGAAAGCCCCGGGCUUAACCUGGGAACGGCGAUGGAAACUGGCGAGCUUGAGUGUGGCAGAGGGGGGUGGAACUCCUGGUGUAGCAGUGAAAUGCGUAGAGAUCAGGAAGAACACCGAUGGCGAAGGCAGCCCCCUGGGCUAACACUGACGCUCAGGCACGAAAGCGUGGGGAGCAAACAGGAUUAGAUACCCCCGUAGUCC